rnacentral:sRNA from 1 species
GUUGUUCCUUAUCUUCUCUAAUAAGUUGGUUUAUUGGAGCCUGUCUUCUUGUGCUCUGACUUAUUCAGUUAUAAGUAAAGCACAUGAAGACAGGCCCAUCGUCAUAGUUACCGCAUUCAGAGCCCUG